UUUUUUCUCACCCUAAGCCAUUCACUAUAUGCAACUGCAAGGCACAUUCCUCUUUGCUGCAGUGGAAUGCACAGAUAGUAAAGAUGAACAGGUAAACAGGUAGAGUGAGUCAGGCAGUGAUGUCAUUAAGAAAAGAAGUGUUUCUGUGAAGUAUCAACACGCAGUAAUAGAUGGAUAUCCCCGCAUGUACAGCAGCAGCAGGUUCCACAUCUCCACCCCCUGCAUACAAUGACAUCAGUAACUUUCCCCUUUAUGAGGAAAUUCCAGCUUCGCCACCACCUGAAUAUACUGUGGCCAUAGCACCACCUGCCAACAGGCCGAGAGUCAAUCUUCAAGAGGUUCGUCAAAACCCUAAUAGAAGUAGGGCAAACCCUUAUCCUGUCCUCAAUGUGCCCCCUCGUAUCGAAAUAGUCGAACGCACAGAACAAAGUAAGGGCAGUUAAAGGAAUAGUUCAUCCAAAAAUGAAAAUUUGCUGAAAAUAUACUCAACCUCAGGCCUAUUUCAAUUUCUUUAAAUCAAGGAUUUAUCCUUAAUCUCAGAACAUUAUUGUCUACAUAGUAUGUAUAUGCAUGUAUACUGUGCACAGUAUGCACAUUUUUCUGAAUGUAUGAAAUUCUUGGAUGGCAUUUUCCAAAAAUAUGC
ensembl:lncRNA